AUACGGAGGGUGCGAGCGUUAAUCGGAAUUACUGGGCGUAAAGCGUACGUAGGCGGUUGGUUAAGUUAGAUGUGAAAUCCUUCAGCUUAACUGUAGAACUGCAUUUGAUACUGGUAGACUAGAGUUUUGGAGAGGGAAGUAGAAUUUCAGGUGUAGCGGUGAAAUGCAUAGAGAUCUGAAGGAACACCAGUGGCGAAGGCGACUUACUGGCCAAAAACUGACGCUGAGGUGCGAAAGCGUGGGUAGCGAACAGGAUUAGAAACCCUAGUAGUCC
rnacentral:rRNA from 1 species